CAACUAAAAAAAACGAGGAAGGAAACAUGAAAAUCGCGCGCUUUUUUUGGGGGCGGUUUAUCUGAAAUCUCUAUUCUCCUAAUAAUGUCAAUGCACAGUAGUCUCUCAUCUUCGUCACUACUCCACGAUCCUAUCUGCGACGCCGCUAAUAUCAAAGUGGGGAGAUUCGUAUUUCGUAGCGCUAUCCACCUCCUCUUUCGUUCAUUCAAUUUCAUCUCUGUAAGAACUUAUGCCUUCAAGAAAGCUGGACAGACAAACAAAAGGAAAUGCUAGAGGAUGAGACUGGUUAUGGAUUUAUAUCUAUCACUUCAUUCUUUGUCAGGUGCUGAUUACACUUCCCUUGCACACUACCCAAAAUAGUGUCUAAUCUCCUACAUUCCCUCCUUGGUUUCUUAAUGUGUGCUAUCAUGACACCGCUAAGUUGGGAGAUGAGCUAGUGCAGAUCAUCCUUGGUCCAGGUCUGGAACCUGGAAUUUCAAAGGUCUUUCUUGAGUUUAUUUGUAACUAUACCUGGAUACAUUCUAUCAAGUAGAGUCACAACCUUCAGCUCUAUUUUUGGUGCAGUAAAAGAUGUUGGAGUCCAACAUUUUCCUCCUCCAAACCCAUGAGCUUGACAGUCAUAGCUGUUGGGGAUUGGAUGAUGAGGCCUUGUCGGGUACUACAGUUGGUGUCGCUUCAUUGGUGGGCAUACAAGGAAAUAUUGCUUCCUAAGAGAAAUCGGAGGAAGAAGCUCAAUGAAAGGCUUUUUGUGCUUGGAUCGGUGGUUCCUAACAUUAGCAAGGCUUUGAUUAUUAAGGAUGCUAUUGAGUAAAUCUAGCACUUGCAAGAGCAAGAGAAGAUUAUCCAAGCUGAGAUAAUGGAGCUUGAAUUGGGGAUACCAAAGAAAUGUGCAAGCUAUGACUUUGAGCUGGAGCAGCUGCCUGUGGUGCUGUGGUCCAAUAAGAAGAUAACAGAGCAUCUAUAUGAUUCUGUCAGUUAAGAAGCUCAAUGAAAGUCCUUGAGGUUAACCCAGCCACUCUGUGUCCUUUUUCUCUCCUGUAUUAUUGAUGCUAUAAAAAUGCUGUGUGGGGGUAUUGUUAAUUUGUUAUCGUGAUACUAGGAAGAUGAUGUGGCGUAUUUUUAAUUUAUUCUUGUUCAUUUAAAGUUUAGCUUGAAUUUUUAAUGGGGACGAAGACUGUUAUGCUAAGUUUGACAUGCAGCAAAAGGACACAGACACAGUGGUGAAACUUUGCGAGGUGUUCGAAUCUUUGAAGGUCAAGAUCGUCACUGCCAACAUCACUUCGUUUUCAGACAGGCUUUUGAAGACAAGCUUCAUUGAGGAGAUUCGAUUGGUAUUUCAAACCAAAGAUGGGAGAAUUUAUGUUGUUCGCUGCUUGUAAACAGAUUCUAUUGGAAUUUCAAAUCAAAGGAGAGAAAACUUAGGGUGUGUUUGGUUUGUAUUUUCAUUUUCUAUUUUUAUUUCUUGUUUUCAUUUUUUGAAAACUGUUUUUAUUUUCAAAAGAUUAGGAUUUUGAAAACAUGUUUGGUUUGUAAUAUAACAUUCUCCUUUAAAGUUGAUGACGCCUAGAAUCCCAAAGAAAGAGAGAGAGGUACCUGACGGCGAGAUGUGACAGUGGCAGACGACAUCGACGUCGGAGCUAGUUUGGUCCGGUGGUGGCGAUUGCAGUGUGUUGUUGUGUGUAGCUGUGUGGCUAGGUUGCGGCAGAGAGUGGGUCGCGGACGCAACGAAGAGUGGGUUGAGGCGUGACUGUGUUAGGUGUCAAGCUCGAGCUGUCGUGACGAAGAGGGAGUGAGUGAGUGGGUUGAUUCGAGGCCAACGUGUGUGAGGAUUAAGCAGCGAGCACUGUGGCAGCGACGAAGACAUGAACUCACGGAGAGGGAGCGGCACCUAAGGCGGAAAGUGGUCGAGUGGGUCAAUGAGAUGUUCUAUAUUUUUUGUCGAAGGAGAGAAGCGUAUGAAGGAAAGGGAAUAGCAAAAAACAUUGAAAACGGGAUCCUAUUGUUUCCAAUUUUUGGUUUGUUUGAAAAAAAUAUUUUUGUUGAAAAUGUUUUCAAAAAUCCAACCAAACACAUUUAUAUCACAAUUUUUUAUUUUCAGUGGAAAUAAAAACAGGAAACAACUAAACCAAACAUCCUAUUAUGUUUUCAACUAGUAGUAAACACUCCUCUAAAAGAAAACUAUUAGUAAUAAACAGAUAUGAAUAGUAACUAAUUAACUAUUGGUUAAAAAUGGUACUAUAAAUUUUAUCUCAAAAAUCUAAUUUAAAAUACACGAGUCCAAUCUUUAUCUACCUGUUUAUCACUGCAUAAUUGCAUGAAUGCAAAGUGUCUGAGCAGGCCGAGAGUCUAUGCAGGUGAUGCCAUUAAUUGAAAAGAAUCUGAGGUUCGUAGUCGAACGUAGUAGAUAUUAGGGAAGACUUUUAAGGAUAAAACAAUUAAAAUUUAAACUUUAGGCCUAUUACUAUUUAUUAUUAGUUUUUUUUUUAUAAAAAAAACACAUGUUUACUAAAAAAGUCUCACAUAUCACUCUAUUGUUUAGAAUAAAAAAAUCUCUUAAUUUUUAUUUUAGGCCUUUGUUGGACCGGCCCCGAUACUAGGAUGAUAGUAACAUUGAUCUCUCCCUCAGUUUUCACUUUAUUAUGGUUCCUUGUUUAGUUCUGCGUAACAGGUGAUAACAUCGGUCACGUUGGUGUGGAAGUUAUGGUGGUGUGUAUGUCUGUAUCUGAGUCAUCCUAUAUUUAUUUGUCCCAAAUGGUAGUUGUACUUCUCUGAGGAACCCCACCUCGAUAUUUACAUUAAUUACAUUUCUUUCUUUUUCACCCUUUGACAUUUAAUCACAUGGGAAAUGCCUUUACACAUCUUUUCAUCUUUGUUAGUUGUGAGUUGUGACUACGGCCCAUGUGCUUUCUCAGAAUUUUUUAGGACAAAUGUUUAUGACUUUAGAGAAAUUUUAUUUUUACAAGAUAUUUGAUAAACCAAUGAGAUUCAAAUUUUAAUCUUUUUAUUUGGAAUGAAGAGGAGAUCGUAAAGAUUUAUUUCGUUUGAGAAAA